AUCUGGAUAGCUCAGUUGGUUAGAGUAUGGUGCUAAUGAAGCCAAGGUUGCAGGUUCGAUCCCUGUAUGGGAGA